rnacentral:rRNA from 1 species
CCUACGGGAGGCAGCAGUGGGGAAUAUUGCACAAUGGGGGAAACCCUGAUGCAGCGACGCCGCGUGAGUGAAGAAGUAUCUCGGUACGUAAAGCUCUAUCAGCAGGAAAGAAAAUGACGGUACCUAACUAAGAAUCCCCGGCUAACUACGUGCCAGCAGCCGCGGUAAUACGUAGGGGGCAAGCGUUAUCCGGAUUUACUGGGUGUAAAGGGAGCGUAGACGGAGGUGCAAGUCCGGAGUGAAAGGGUAUGGCUUAACCAUGGUACUGCGCUGGAAACUGUAGAGCUUGAGUGCGGGAGGGGCAGGCGGAAUUCGUAGGGUAGCGGUGAAAUGCGUAGAUAUUAGGAGGAACACCGGCGGCGAAGGCAGCCCGCUGGACCGUAACUGACGUUGAGGCUCGAAAGCGUGGGGAGCAAACAGGAUUAGAUACCCUAGUAGUC